GCGUCCGUAGCUCAGCUGGAUAGAGUACCUGGCUACGAACCAGGCGGUCAGAGGUUCGAAUCCUCUCGAGCGCG
rnacentral:tRNA from 1 species